GGAUCAAUAUGUCGGUCGUGCCCUCGGUACAUACUGGUAUCAUUGGUCUCUCCUUUCUGACGAACCAUGAUGUCAUUAAAUUGGUGUUAUGGGGAGUUAGGACUGUUACUUUGAAAAAAUUAGAGUGUUUAAAGCAAGCUAACGCUUGAAUACAUUAGCAUGGAAUAAUGAAAUAGGACGUUCGAUCCUAUUUUGUUGGUUUCUAGGAUUGACGUA
rnacentral:rRNA from 1 species